rfam:Octopus bimaculoides Scaffold37937_contig_175, whole genome shotgun sequence.
AUUAUUAUUAUCUGCAGUACCAUAGCCAAUGAGGGUUAUCCGAGGUGUGGUUAUUGCUAGUUGAAAACUAUUAUUAUUAUU